AUGUCUCCAAUACUCUUUCUCUGUGUAGUUGCAGUUGUCUGUAGGGAAUCAAGUUGCCAGAUUUCUUUGAAUCAACCAUCAGCAUCAAAAUCAGUUUCCAUUGGAGGAAGCGUCACUUUCACAUGUACCUCUAGUGCAGACGUGACUGACGACAUAGGGUGGUACCUGCAGAGACCUGGAGAAAGUCCUAAACUCCUGAUCAAUGAAGCACGUUUUCUAAAUGGUGACACCCCGAGUCGCUUUAGUGGCAGUGGAUAUGGAACAUCAUUCAGUUUGAAUAUCAGUGGAGUCCAGCCUGAAGACGCCGGUCACUACUACUGUCAGCAAGAGAACAGCUACCCUUUUGCACAGUGA